AGAGUUUGAUUAUGGCUCAGGAUGAACGCUGGCGGCGUGCCCAACACAUGCAAGUCGAGCGGGAAAUCGCCGAGCAGAGAUUCGUCGAAGCGAGGUGAUGGAUAGCGGCGGACGGGUGAGUAACGCGUAGGUAACCUGCCUUAGGCUGAGGGAUAGCCCGGGAAACCUGGAUUAAUACCACAUAACGCGGGGGAGUCACAUGGCCCCCCUCGCCAAAGAUUUAUCGGCCUGAGAUGGACCUGCGUCUGAUUAGAUAGUUGGUGAGGUAACGGCCCACCAAGUCAACGAUCAGUAGCCGACCUGAGAGGGUGAUCGGCCACAUUGGAACUGAGACACGGUCCAAACUCCUACGGGAGGCAGCAGUGGGGAAUAUUGCACAAUGGGGGGAAAAACCCCCUGAUGCAGCAACGCCGCGUGAGCGAAGAAGGUCUUCGGAUUGUAAAGCUCUGUCCUUGGGGACGAAAGAUGACGGUACCCAAGGAGGAAGCCCCGGCUAACUACGUGCCAGCCGCCGC
rnacentral:rRNA from 1 species